UACAGAGGGGGCCAGCGUUAUUCGGAAUCACUGGGCGUAAAGCGCACGUAGGCGGAUUGUUAAGUCAGGGGUGAAAUCCUGGAGCUCAACUCCAGAACUGCCUUUGAUACUGGCGAUCUUGAGUCCGGGAGAGGUGAGUGGAACUGCGAGUGUAGAGGUGAAAUUCGUAGAUAUUCGCAAGAACACCAGUGGCGAAGGCGGCUCACUGGCCCGGUACUGACGCUGAGGCACGAAAGCGUGGGGAGCAAACGGGG
rnacentral:rRNA from 1 species